rnacentral:rRNA from 1 species
AGAUUGAACGCUGGCGGCAUGCUUUACACAUGCAAGUCCAACGUGAGAGGGGAGCAAUCCCCCGGUAGGGUGGCAAACGGGUGAGUAAGACAUGGGUGAUCUACCCUAGGGAUGGGGGAUAUCCUUCCGAAAGGAGGGGCAAUACCGAAUAUUGUCCGGAGCCGUGAAGGGUUCCGGGGAAAGGGAGGCCUCUGACACAAGCUUUCGCCUUAAGAUGAG